rnacentral:rRNA from 1 species
UACAGAGGGUGCAAGCGUUAAUCGGAAUUACUGGGCGUAAAGCGUGCGUAGACGGUUACAUAAGUCGGGUGUGAAAGCCCCGGGCUCAACCUGGGAAUUGCAUUCGAGACUGCAAGGCUAGGGUGCGGAAGAGGGAAGCGGAAUUUCCGGUGUAGCGGUGAAAUGCGUAGAUAUCGGAAGGAACAUCAGUGGCGAAAGCGGCUUCCUGGUCCAGCACCGACGUUCAGGCACGAAAGCGUGGGGAGCAAACAGG